CGAGAUGGCAUCCAGAAACAGCACCAGCUUCAUGGGUUUUGUGCUCUGCUGGUUAUAUUCCUGCAGGGCCCCAUUUCAACUUGGGGGUCGAGAAAAUCCCCAAAAAGAAUCGGCUGUUUGCCCAAAGUUUCGUCCGGAUCCAACUGGUAGAAGCUGGAGAUUUGGUUCUUCAGCAACGUUUCGAACCAGACCCGGUCUUCAUCGUUUACCAGGCGAUCUUGGAAGACGCGACAGCAUUCAUGGUACCAAAGUCGCAGCGCUGAUUGAACAUCCUGCAACGGAAACAACUGGAAAUAAUUGGAGGAACGUGGGAUAUUUUUCCAGUUUUCCACUCUGUUCCGGGAGUUAUUUAAAAAAAGUCAUCAAAGUUGUGUAACUUUAUUAGGAAAAACUGCAUGCUUCACACACAAGCAUGGUUGUCCCCAUUUGCCACACACUGUGUAUUUGCUGGGCACGUGUAAGUCUGCAAAGUCCUGUAGACUUUGAGGCCUCGGUCAACAUCACGCCAGCAAUAAACAAACGAGUGAGGCGUCAGGCAUCUUAAGCCACUGGAUGGACAAUGGUCACUGUUUUCUCCAAAUUCUUUUAGGUCUGCAAUUAAAUAAAACUGAUUGAUUGAUUAUUUUUUUAGUCUUCAGUUGUGGUGUGUCUUCUACGUCAAAUUAUUUUGCUCCAUUUGCAAUCAUUUGCUUCAUUUCAAUUCAAAGGCGAUUGCAUCUACACCGACAUACAUUUUGAUCCUGUACAAUAAACAUUCGUGUAAUA